ACGCAGAUCAGACAUAUCACUAUGCUUGACACAGUUAUGAUAUUUCUGUCGGUAUUCUCUUUCUACGUAUGUUUUCUGUUGCUCAUACACGCACAAUGUUGCACCAAGAGGGAAGUUCAUUGCAUUUGUGUCUGCAGAAGCAGAGACUGAUAAUCCCCAGUCUGAGCUAAAGCCUGGAAUUGAUCUACUUGGUUCUGUAGAUGAGAUUUUCUAUGAUAUCUAUGACAGAUAUGAACCAGUGAAUGAACCAUCUCUUGAUAAUUGCUUUGUCUCGACAAGCUAUGAUGCCACCACACAUUUUGAGA